UACAGAGGGGGCAAGCGUUGCUCGGAAUCACUGGGCGUAAAGGGCGCGUAGGCGGGAUGGCAAGUCGGUCGUGAAAUCCCUCGGCUCAACUGAGGAGAGUCGGCCGAUACUGCUGUUCUUGAGGGAUGCAGAGGAGACUGGAAUUCCCGGUGUAGCGGUGAAAUGUGUAGAGAUCGGGAGGAACACCGGUGGCGAAGGCGGGUCUCUGGGCAUCUCCUGACGCUGAGGCGCGAAAGCGUGGGGAGCAAACGGG
rnacentral:rRNA from 1 species